CUUUCCUUGUGAAGCUAACCUUCUGAAUCAAAGUGUCCCAGUGAACAACUUAAUUCUUCAGCCAACAGUGCUUUUUAUUCAAAAAUCUCCAGAGGCGCUAGUGCAAAGCAGAUUUGAACCUGCCCUAAAUAAACUGAGGAGUCCCCUGAUUGUGUUCUACACUCUGCUGCACAGUCCCUGUGUAGCAAGGUGAAGUAGGUGUGGGGUCUGGACAGGGAGAUGGCCAGUGCCCUGCAGAGCACCUCUGAUAAAUGUCUCCAUGUCCAGCAGCGCUGUGGAGCACAGGAGAUGUGACUCAUGUGCGUUUCCAGCCAGCAGCACUGAUGCUAAAAAAUCCUGCUCUUUUGCCUUCCCCUUGUCCCAGCUGUUCAGGGGCUUCGGGUCUCUGUGGUGAUUCAGGCAGUCUCCAGCUAGCCCAGAGAAGGAGGAGUGGGGAAUGAAGCAACAAGGAGAGGACCCAUGGGUCACCUCAUGACGUGCAAGCAGUGCUCACCAGUGCUGGGCCUGCACCUGAGCAAUUGCCUUAGAGGUGAUUGAGCAGCAAGAAGGAACACGGCGGUGGCUGCCAGCCCAGAAACCGUGCACCCAACAGCUUCUGCUGAGACUGCUGCGUUCAACUCCCUGCCCCGGCAUGGGGAUAGCUUCUGUAGAAAUACUGCAUUCGGUUUUCUGCCCCUAAAUGGUUUGGGAUCAGAAUUUGCUUUCUUUAGUCUUACUGGUAAGGAAACAACUCUUCUGCCAUUAAGCUGCUUGUGAGAGGAGGAGUGGCCAUGCUGGCACAAGAAAAAGUCUGAAAGGAUUUCUUCCACGUCUGAAGUGUUAGAGAAUUAGGCAAGGGGAGAUGGAUGGAUACUAAUGUGGCCACUGGAGGGCAGCGUCAAAACUCACAGCUGCCCAGUACAACCCCACCUCUCCCUGCACAUUUCAUUUCAGGCUCUUCUCGUCAAACGUUUCCCUUUUUUUCCCCGGGUUCCUUCUCCUCUCUCCCCACCACUCGCACCCAGCAUCUCUUCCAGCACCCAGGACUGCAGCUCCCCAAUUUUCUCCCCACUGACGCCACCCUUACACCAGCCUGGUGUAAGGGUUUUGGACACACAACGGGCACUGGGGGUGUUUGGGAUGAAAGGCGGCUGAGAGCGCCUAGCAGCAGAAGUGUGAUGUGUGUGGCGGAGCUGGCAGACGUCUUAGGGGCUAACUUCUUCUGAAGAGCCCUUGUAAAGAAUUGCAUGGAUUUUGCAUGAAAAAGAAAGGAAAGGAAAGUUUAUGGCUGUACAUGGCAAAGAAACAAAUGGCACUCAUGGCAAAUCCCAGUGUGGGGAGCGGCUCAGUUGGUUUAUAACUUAGUCCUCAUCUGAAAGAGUUUUUGAAAAGCACCAUUACUUUUCAGUGACAUGAGGUAGGAUUUCAGCAGUGCUUUCAACUAUUUGUCUUCGUCUGAAGUAAGAGUUCUGCUUCCAGGUAAAAUAACAGAAAACAUGUAUACUUACC
ensembl:lncRNA